GUGAGUGGACGUGAUGCCACUGAUGUAAAAAUAGUUCAAACGGCAAGCUUUGUGUGCAUUUUGCUACACUAAAGAUGAACGAAACCUUUCUGUUCUCUUGGCAGUAGUGAUGGUGCCUUGUACCUUAGGCCCUUUGGAAUCAAGUGCUAAAUAUGGUUUAUCCAUUGGCUUUCCUUCGUUUUUGAGCAAACAGGAUUGGGAUGCUUCAGUUGCCUGUAGCCAGUCUGUUAGCACUUGCAAAGAUGACUCCAGUCACUCUUCUUUAGACAGAGUCUUAAAUACUAAGAUGGAUGCCCACAGUUCACAAUGGGAAGUGAGUUUUAGAAGUUAUAUUUCUUUAACAACAAAUAUGAGACUGAAACUGAGGAAAGCGAAGUUUAAGUAUAGCACUUCCUUUAUGGGUAUAACAGCUACAAGUCCGAAGGGUAAUGCUGACAUAAAUGCUACUGGAAGGAAUAAAUCACCAUGUGUUGUCAAAGCUUGUGUUCCUCGGACUCAGCAGCUCCUGGGACAUCCAGAUUCUUGUCUUUGGCUGUUCCUCUAUACUUUUUUCCAGAUGAGAUGAAUGAUCUCAAUCAGAGCUGCCUGUGUGGAACGAGGUCUCAGAGCUGGCUGUUACCCAGAGAUCUCAGUCAGGGUUGGCUGUAACAAAGCAAACAGAGCAGACCAGGAGGAGCAACCCACCAAGCAGCACCCCUCCACAGUCUCUGCUUCAGUUCCUGACUCCAAGUUCCCACCCUGGUGUCUCUCAGUGAUGGAUUGUGCCCUUGAGUUGACAGAUGAAAUAAAUCCUUUUCUCUACAA
rnacentral:lncRNA from 1 species